rnacentral:rRNA from 1 species
UGUCCUACGGGACGCAGCAGUGGGGGAUAUUGCACAAUGGGGGGAACCCUGAUGCAGCGACGCCGCGUGGGUGAAGGAGUGCUUCGGCAUGUAAAGCCCUAUCGGCAGGGAAGAAGCAAGACGGUACCUGACUAAGAAGCCCCGGCUAACUACGUGCCAGCAGCCGCGGUAAUACGUAGGGGGCAAGCGUUAUCCGGAUUUACUGGGUGUAAAGGGGGCGCAGACGGCAAUGCAAGCCAGGAGUGAAAGCCCGGGGCCCAACCCCGGGACUGCUCUUGGAACUGCAUGGCUGGAGUACAGGAGGG